rnacentral:lncRNA from 1 species
UUAAAUCACAAUUUUCCCGCUCAAAGCCAAGGAUUAGGGUUUUGCAAUUGUUGUGUGCAUUGUAGUUUAGGAUUAGAUAAUAAGGAUAACUAACUUUCCACCCGUGCUACCGCACGGGUCAUAUACAUUGUAGAUGUAGUAGACAAAAACAAAUCUCAAUGCAUAUCAAAGAGAAUGAAAUAUGUGGUUCCAAAUAUAUGCAGAUGUUUGAAUUCGAACCUCAGACACCAC